AUUGAACGCUGGCGGCAGGCAUAACACAUGCAAGUCGAGCGAGCGGCGGACGGGUGAGUAAUGUCUGGGAAACUGCCAGAUGGAGGGGGAUAACUACUGGAAACGGUAGCUAAUACCGCAUACUAUCAGAUGGGCCCAGAUGGGAUUAGCUAGUAGGUGGGGUAAUGGCUCACCUAGGCGACGAUCCCUAGCUGGGCUGAGAGGAUGACCAGCCACACUGGAACCGAGACACGGCCCAGACUCCUACGGGAGGCAGCAGUGGGGAAUAUUGCACAAUGGGCGCAAGCCUGAUGCAGCCAUGCCGCGUGUAUGAAGAAGGCCUUCGGGUUGUAAAGCACUUUCAGCGGGGAGGCGUUACCCGCAGAAGAAGCACCGGCUAACUCCGUGCCAGCAGCCGCGGUAAUAC
rnacentral:rRNA from 1 species